rnacentral:tRNA from 1 species
GUAGGUAUAGUUUAAGUCAAAACACUAGAUUGUGAUUCUAGAAAUAGAGGUUAAAAUCCUCUUACCCACCGAG